rnacentral:rRNA from 1 species
AACCUUCGGAAGMAUCAUCA